CCUGCCCACUUCCUGCCUGCUUCUGGCCCCUGCUCCUGUGCCUGGUCUCCAGUCUCACUCCCACACCGCACCUGGGCCUCCUCUAGCCCUGUCUUCUGCCCGAGGCCGCAAUGUGCCAGGGUUGUAAGUGCCAAAGAAAACCACCUUUGUCUGGCUAAGACACUAACUGCUGGGCUCAGCUACUGCAGGAAAAGCAGCCCUGAUCAGCGAUCCUCCAGCCUCCCACAGACUGCGACAUCUGACAUCUUCAGAUAACACCCAAGCAUGGGCAGGGACUGGCCAAUCCUGUUCUUUAAAGUGAAACAGUGUUUACUGUUCAAGGAGAUAGCCCCUUUUCUAAAGAAUUACAGGGACUGGCCUAAGAGAAGAAAGUCGAUUGUUGUCUCCAGGGCAUUCUGGCAGGAGAGAAAGGAAAACUCAGGCCCCGAUGACCAGAGGCCCUCAGCACACGCCCGCCCGGCCUCCUGCCCUUGGCCCUGGAGCUCUCUUUCCACUUCUGCUACCUGGGUCCCCUAACGAGGCUUGCUGGGGGACCAUGGCGCCCGCUCUCCUUCCUGUCCACUGAUCUCCCGAGCAUUGGCUUCUGAGUGGCGAGCGGGUGGUCUCGGGUCCAGCGGCGCAGUCCCUUGGAGAGCAGCGGCUUCGUGAUCAGCAGUCAGGUCCACAGCUGCUCAGGGGUGACCUUUCUCUGAGUCAAGGAAACUCCGGGACUUCAGCACUGCGCUGGUGCUCAGAGGCCCAGUCUCUCAGGAACACAGGGAAGCAGGCCAAACACGAACACACAGCAAGCGCCCGGCGCCUCUGGGACCCAUCUGCUCACCUGUAUGUGAUUAGAACAUAUAUAAAUAGCCUAUCAAACCCAAGGUGCUAUGGAUAUUAUUCUGUAGGGGGGGAAACUAACAUUUUCUAAUCAAUCUGAAUUUUGAAAGUAAAUUAUGAUGCAUAGAGUAAUUGGGUAAAAAAUAAUAAAAAAUGGUAAGGAAAUAAAGCCUGGGGCAACUGGCUUUAGGGAAAGGGGGUGUGGCCCUCCCUCCCGCCGGCUGAGGCAGACUUUACCCCUGCAGAACACCUUUGCUUCUGUCUUUUGUCUGUCUUCCAUGUUUAGGGGUGUUCAAAACCGUGAGAUGGUUCUGUAGCUCCAGGUUUGCAUUUCCCUCCUGUGUUACUCAUUUUUGCCAAACAAAGCAGCUCAACACAGUGAGUGGGUGGAUGGAUCCCUUCCAGAGGCUCUAGGCUGUCUGGCACCUGGGGGGAGGAGGCGACUCCUGUGGAAUAACGCUUGCUUGCUUUCAGGGUGCUCUCGGCCUCUUGGAUCCGGAGUCACUGGGUCUCCUCACUCACUUGUCGUCUGCCCCCUCCCCCCGCCCCAUGAGUGAGCCCCCUUGCUGGCAGCUCCACCCGUGUCCCCAGCAACCCAGCUGACAAAGGCCGGGGGUGAGUGUCUGCUCCGUGGGAACACACCGCUCCGUGUGCAAGCACUUAAGAUGGAGCCUGGGCCUGUUGAGAGAGGCAAGUGCCCCACCGCUGCCCUGAUCUCCCCUCAACAAGCCCUCCCUGAGCCACGCUGAAAUUGCCACCCCAGCGAACGAGGAGGCCAGCAGAAGUGACAGCAGCAGCAAGACCCUCCCAGUGCUCCAGGGGUGCAGAGCAAGUGGCCAAGGCAGCAGGGUGGGAGUGCCCGCCGUGGGGUCUCUGCUCCCUGGAAGGGCACUGUGACACCACGAUGGCCUCCACCUGUGCCCGGCAGACCUGGAGGACAGUCAUCUGUCCGGCCUCGCAUCCCAGCCAACCGCAGAGCAGAGCUGCCUAACUCAACGCUUCCGUACUGCCACUCCCCAGUGACAGAGUGACGGCCAUGCACACAGCACCCCACCCCUUCACGUGCCAGAGGUCCUCAUCCUUGCGAGGAGACGCGGACUCUCUGCCCGUGCUGCACCGCCGCCUUCUGCAGUGUCACAGCCAGCCCUGGAAUCUGGUGCCGGAAAUUCUCCGACUGCCCUUCCUGCCUCUCCCUCUCUUCCUCCUCUCUCCUCUCCUUUUCUCUUUUCUUUUCUUUGCAUCCUUCUUUCUUUUCAGUAAUAAGGAUUGAGCCCAGGGUCUUUGCACUGACCUACAUUCCCAUCCUUUUUUUUUUCCUGUACUGGAAAUGGAACUCAGGACCUUGUGCUUACCAGGCAGGUGCACCACCACUGAGCUAAAUCCCCAGCCUUUGGGGUUUUCUUUUUGAGACAGGGUCUUGCUCUGUAGUUCAGGCUGUCCUUGAACCCACUGUGUAGCCCAGGCAGGCCUUGAACUCACAGCAAUCCUCCUGCCUCAGCUUCCCGGGUUCUGCAAUUACAGGUGUGUGCCACCUCACCCAGCUUUAUGUUUUGAGAAAGCGUCUUGUUAAAUUGUUGAGUUGCCCAAGCCGUGCUCAAACGUGUGACCCUCCGGCCUCAGCCUCCUGAGUGCUGGGAUCCCAGGAGUGUAGCUCCACGCCCAGCUGUAUGAUCUGCCCAAGUAACAGCUGCUACUGAAGACGACUACUUGGGAAUAGUGACUGAUGAGUGGAACAGGGCCGUGUGGCACCCAGGGAAUCGCUGGGCCAUCACUGCGUUUCUACAUAGUGCACUUCCCCUCCUGCAGGAAGCCCCGGGGCUCGACCAUGAGCACACAGCUGACCCCGAAAGGAGCCCAGGGUGCGAUGUGUGUGCCCACGGCCGUCCGCAGGGCCAUGCUCCCUGCCUGAGCCGGGCCCGACCUCCUCAGGGGUCCAUGUGAGCGCUGAGCUCCAUCUUCCUCCCCCACCGGUAAGAAUUUGGCCAGAACAAGCCUGGAAAAGAAGCCCUGCUGUUUAGGGCAGAUGCCCCUCCUGUACUGCGCUGCGGAGAAAGCUGGAAUGGAGGGGACGGGGCCCUGAAAACCCCUCCCUGCCCACAGGCCAGGCGGCCAGUGAGGUCUGAGGUUUCCCCGUCAGGGAUGCAGGACUGCGGCUAACCCCAGGCCACCGCCACUGCCUGCUGGGAAGGGCACAGACGAGAUGUGUCACUGGUCGCCACGUCCACACUCCAAUUUCCUGCUUCCCAGAUGUCCAGGACUCGUGCCAAGCACAGCGGCUCGGGCCUGGAAUCCCAGCUACUUGGAAGGCUGAGGCAGGAGGAUCAUGCG
rnacentral:lncRNA from 1 species